UCAACAUUUUUACUCAAAUCACGGUCUUUUCCUAAACCUAACCAAGUCGUUCUUUUGCCUAAACAGGUUCUGCACUGCAGGGGCUUGUGCAGGCGCACUGAUCGCUUGUGUUGCUGGACAUUCAUAGGAUAACACAAAGAUU